UGAGGAUCUUGACAGCAUGAAGAAGAAAUGGUUCGAUUUGGUGCAGAAAUAUGCCAAAGACGAUCAGACAUUCCCUCAGUCUCUACUGUGUCUUCUACGUCAUAUCCGCAAUCGUAUGGUCCACAGCAAAAAAGAAAUGGAAGACAUCAAUGUGCCCAGGCUUUUCCCUGACCUUGUCAUCACAGCAUACAAAUGUGCCAAAGAAAGAGGGUGGACAGUAGAGGGAUUCCUGCCCCUGCCCCCUGCCCCUGUUUCGAGGAAGAGAAAAGCUGAAUCCCCCACCCCAGACCAGGAGAUGCAGAAUUAAGC